rnacentral:lncRNA from 1 species
GCGAGAUCGACCAGUCCGACCAGAGCUUCCUCGACGACGACCAGAUGGAGGCAGGGUGGGUGCUCACCUGCCACGCCUACCCCAAGUCCGACAUCGUCAUCGAGACCCACAAGGAGGAGGAGCUCACCGCAUAAGCUGCUUACCCUGCCUCUCUUUGCAACAAGAUCGAGCUGAUAUCAUAUUAUCUCCCAUCAUGCAUGCAUGCAUGGAUAUCGCCAGAUACACCGAUUUGUUUGUGCUCGAAUGAAUUGCUCGAUGCAUGGUUUGCUCCAGUAAUAAUGUCUUCGAAUUACUACCUUUUUGUACCGUAAGAUAUACUACUGUCGUAAUACUAGCGUGUACUUAAUUCAACGUACUGAAAUGAAUCCUGAU